UACGGAGGGGGCUAGCGUUGUUCGGAAUUACUGGGCGUAAAGCGCGCGUAGGCGGCUUUGUAAGUUAGUGGUGAAAGCCCGGAGCUCAACUCCGGAACUGCCUUUAAGACUGCAUCGCUAGAAUUGUGGAGAGGUAAGUGGAAUUCCGAGUGUAGAGGUGAAAUUCGUAGAUAUUCGGAAGAACACCAGUGGCGAAGGCGACUUACUGGACACAUAUUGACGCUGAGGUGCGAAAGCGUGGGGAGCAAACAGG
rnacentral:rRNA from 1 species